AAGUCUUUCAUAAAAGAGAAUGGGAAUCUAGGCCUUGUCUCAUUUAGCCAUCUAAAUACAAUCGAAGUCUCAAAAUAGGGACACAACCCUUACAAUAUUUCUCAAAUGACUUACUAAAAGAAACUACUAAGUAAAGAUACUCGUCCUCGAAUCUUGAGGACUCGCCAUCUAGAAAGGAGAAUUAUCUAUUCCAAGCUUGAACCAAUAGAUA
rnacentral:lncRNA from 1 species